rnacentral:tRNA from 1 species
GCACCUGUGGUGGAAUUGGCAGACACGCUGGAUUUAGGUUCCAGUCCGCGAGGGUGCAGGUUCAAGUCCUGUCAGGUGCA